ensembl:lncRNA
GAGGCGUUAUGUUUCCUGGUUGUUCAUCCAUCCUUCACAUUCUCUUGAACAUGAUAUCGCAGUAAUGCCUUGAGGGAAUGUGACAAAAUGUGGCACCAAAUUAAUCUGAACUCAGGGAUGAUUAAUUUGAAUUUGGUAGUCAAAGGUCAAGAAAGGAGUAAAGAUGAUUAAAAGUGAUGACAUUUGGUUCCAGAAAGUCCAAAGUUAUUUUUACUCUAUCAGGACCACUUCAGUCCAGUAGAAUUAUUCCAUCUGCAGAUAUAUUUUCCAUAUACAUGUGGAAAGCCUGAGGUGGUGGAGAGCACCCCCCACCCCACCCCACCCCAACACGCACAUACAUCAAAAGCCUGAGGCAAGGAGAACAGCAGCUAGACCACCCUUGGGAGGUCUAGCAGGCAUCAGUGACAGUAGACAUGACACUGAUUAGGUGGACACAGCAUGAAAAAAGGAGCUGGGAUAAAGGCAGGUUUCAAAGUGGCUUGCAGAGAAAGCAGCAAGCAUAAACAGGGUAAACUGGCAUAAAUAGCGCCCUCUGUUUGCCAAUUGCCAACUGAAUGCUUACACUAUGCUUCACUUCUCAGAUAUACCCCCCACACAUGCAUGUCAUUGUAUUUCCCAGAGUUCAGAUCUGUCUUCUUAAUAGAUCUGCAGGGUUUUUUUCUAGAGUUUUUUUUUGUCUUUUUUUUUUCUUUUUGAAAAUCAGUGUGUAAUCAAGUGAUGAGAUGUAUGGAGGCUGUUCAAAGUUUCGACUCUUCUUCCAGACAUGACAACAUGAGGGAAAAGUACGACUGCAGAGACUCCUGCCUGUGAGCAUGUAAAGACACAAAACACCCAAACAACUGUUUUAUUAGAAACAUGGAAGCCAGUCUAAUGGAAACUGAUCAAAUGACUUGAUUUAAACUCCUGUUUGUUUUAUCAUCUCAGGUCAUUUUCUUUCAGUGAGCAGGAUCGUGGAUAUUACACAGGAACAAGUCUGUGUUUUCUUUUGCUGCAUUUUUUUCAGGGGGGGCUUGUUGUACAUAAACAGAACAAGUAAGGGGAAAAAAUGAGUGACGCACUGAAUGUCACUUGAGGAAGGAAGAGGAAGAGGUGUGACUUGUCCCAACAUCCUUUGCAUUUUACCACUGCAACAGUCUUGUCAGUCACAGAGUGAACAAGGAGGCAUAUGUCACCGCAUUGUCGCUAUGGCAAUGACAAGCGCACUGAUGACUCACUGUGACACAUGGAAAUACAACAAACAGACUGCUGGCCUACACACACAUACAAACUGAGUCAGUGUAGCGAGGCAAGAUCACGGCAGACAACACACACAAAAACAACACUGUAGCUUCUGCACAACAAAAUGCGUGCACAUACACAGACCUAUACUUGUACACAUUAGUGAGACAACAACAAAACGAUGAUGCAUUCAGCCUUGUUAUACAAAACUGACAAUGUUACGAUGGGAGAAGAGUCUCGAACUGGUCACAUUGGGAACUGUUGUGUGACAUCAUAUAACGGCGUAGACUGGAAACGUGGGGAAACUGCAUUUUCUAAUCGUUCGAAUGAUUCAUAGAUGCAUUUGUGCACACACCUGCACAAAUAUCCACACACAGAAGUAGUUCAUUUUUAAUGCUACUGUUAGUCUUUUCUAACAGUGGCAUUAAUUUAUCUAACAAGUAUCAAGUAUUUAUAUUUUUGUUUAACUUAACUAACUGGAUUUUUUUCCCAUUGCUUACAUUUUUUUCCUAGUUCACCCCACAUGAGCGAUGGAAUGAACUGAGCUGCCUCAACACAACCAGAAAUCAGCACAAUUUGUUUGACAUUUAAGGAAAUACAGAGCCAAGCUGUCAUUCCACAAGCUUUAAAUCAACACUCAUGAUUCUGAUUCCUGAGAAGUCUGCUCUAUGCCACCCAAAUGACCGCCACCCCAGAGCAUUCGCUCCUCUCAUCGUAACUUCUGAGUAGCUGGUCCUGCAAAACAUUACGUGCAGCUAUGUCGUCCCGCUUGAUCACUUGUUUACCACAGUGUAAACUGGGCGGGUGGAUGGCAUACUUACGUAUGCCAUCGCACACUGAUGUCACGAUGCUAUUCGCUGAUUUUUGCUCGACCUGAUUGUUGAGCUGAUACAGCUCGAUCGCAGCAAACCCCGCUGAAAUUGACACUUCCCCAGUGUAUAGUUCAGUAUGGCUGCACUGAGUCAUCUAGCUCCAGUUGCAUCAUGAUGUUUUCUGAUGACAGAACAUUGGUGGGCCGCAACAAAGAUCAAAAAGGUUACAAAGUAAUACGUGAUUACUAAAUGUGAAGCAAAAUUUCACCUUGCUUUACUCACGUGAAUUCAGUUGUCACAGUCUAUGGGGGAAUUCAGCUUACGGGGUUUUUUUAGCAAUGCAGCCUGAAGCAAAAUUUUCACCAAAACUGAAACAUUUUAACCCACAUAAAUGCAGAUUUGCGUCAAUUCAACUUUAUGCUGCACACAAACUUCAAAUCAUAUUUGCUGUGAGAGCACCCUAAUCAGUUUUCUCUAACCUAAGGGAAAAUGGGGCCAUCCGUGCCCCAUAAAUGAUGAAGAUUGGCAUUUCUAAGAUGGGCAAAGCCACAAAAGAGACUGGUGACGCUCAUUUGGACAAAUUUAAACCAAAACAACAGUGCCAAGAUCCUCUAAAGUGGGUGAUCUUCUUCCUGCGCCAUAGUCCAUGGGAAUCAUGGGAGUGUAAUCCACCUCAGUGUAACCCAGCCACCAGUUUUACUCCACAAGUUUGACUCAAACAGCUCCUGUAGACAGCACAUCAGCUUCAAGAACUGCCUGUUUAUUCAAUACAUAAUGUACCCUGCUCCUUGGCAGACGCGACUGCAAUGAGGUCAACAAACUUGUUCACCUGUCAGGGUUACAGAAGGACAAAAUGACGUGCAAGUGCUGCUGUGACAACCCAGGCUUUCACUUGGAUGAUGAAGCUCUGUUCUCAUUCAUCUUGAUUCCAAUUCAAGUCCAGUUGUUCAUCAAUAUUAAGAUGGAUAGUUGGACCGCUAUAACUUUUCAACAUGAAGGGCAUCUUAAUUACUGGAAGAAAAAUGUUUUUGAC